rnacentral:rRNA from 1 species
GUGAACGCUGGCGGUAGGCCUAACACAUGCCAGUCGAACGGCAGCACCGUAAGAGCUUGCUCUUACGGGUGGCGAGUGGCGGACGGGUGAGGAAUACAUCGGCAUCUACUUUUUCGUGGGGGAUAACGUAGGGAAACUUACGCUAAUACCGCAUACGACCUACGGGUGAAAGCAUGGGAUCUUCGGACCUUGCGCGAUUGAAUGAGCCGAUGUCGGAUUAGCUAGUUGGCGGGGUAAAGGCCCACCAAGGCGACGAUCCGUAGCUGGUCUGAGAGGAUGAUCAGCCACACUGGAACUGAGACACGGUCCAGACUCCUACGGGAGGCAGCAGUGGGGAAUAUUGGACAAUGGGCGCAAGCCUGAUCCAGCCAUGCCGCGUGGGUGAAGAAGGCCUUCGGGUUGUAAAGCCCUUUUGUUGGGAAAGAAAAGCAGCAGGUUAAUACCCCGCCGUUCUGACGGUACCCAAAGAAUAAGCACCGGCUAACUUCGUG